UGAGUCUGGCUACAUUACAAUACAUUCAAACAGGAAGUCAGUCAGUAAUUCAUCAUUGACAGUACCUCUUAACUGUACACUGUGGCUCUUGUGUGACUCUAAUCUCAACACUGAUCAUGUCAUGCAUAAACCUUUACAUGAACUGUCUGGUACAUGUGCAAGUAAAUCUUUGAUGGAUCACUCUGGUUUAUUAUUACUUGUUGAUUCUUCUGAUGAUUACGUUGAUCAAAUCAUGUCUGCUCAUUUGAUUAAUAAAGUAACGAGAGACAGAAGCUUAUCAACUCAUCCACACCCUCUUUUAACAA